GUCCGAUUGGUGUAGCGGUAACACAGAGGGAGUAGUCGCAGUAGGACGCAUGAAGCAAUAAGUCGGCCAAGUUAUACCUCAGGUCCUCGGUUCGACUCCGAGAUCGGACA
rnacentral:tRNA from 1 species